rnacentral:lncRNA from 1 species
UAGAAAGCCUGCAGCUCCAAGAGACUUGUUGUCAAAACUGGAUGGUCAUGGCACUUAAACUAUUGGGAAUCCAGGAUGCUACUGCACCACUUAAAAAUGGAAACUCAUGUCUGUAGAAACCCUUGAUAUGUGAAGCUGACUGUGGUUGGGGUUCUUUCCUGGUUGGUUAAGGGCACCACUUUCAGAUAAAACAUAGACCUGAAUGGCAUCAUCCAGUAUCCAAGGAAACCAUGUGCCACCAGAAACCUCUUCCUCCUGGCCGUUGCCUGACUGACUCCUCAUCACUCUUCAGCUGCAUCUAGACUCUCCUGCCAUCUGAGGGACCCUUCUCAGUUGCUCUUAUAGCCCCAGAAGUGUCUAAUAUUUCCAGUGUUCAUGACCAAUGCUACUUGCUUUUUCAUCACCUUGUUCAAUUUCCUUUCAUAAAAGAAUCUAGUCAGGCUGGAGAGAUGGCUCAGCAGUGAAAAAGAGUGCUUCCCACAUUUCUAGAGGCCCUGUGUUCAAUUCCUAGCAUCCACAUCUGGUGGCUCCCAACUAACUGCCUGUAACUCCAGCUCUAGGGAAUCUGACACCCUCUUCUGGCUUCUUUGGACUCCUGCAUCCACGUGCACAGGCACAUAUGUACCCACAGAAAUGAAAAUAAAUCUUAAGAAAAAGAGCAG